rfam:Thiobacillus sp. SCN 63-57 ABT23_C0015, whole genome shotgun sequence.
CGGGGUGUAGCGCAGCCCGGUAGCGCGCCUGCUUUGGGAGCAGGAUGUCGGAGGUUCGAAUCCUCUCACCCCGA